UUAAAAAGUGAGCUUUGAUGAGAACAUCCAGAGCGAGAGGUAAAAGCGCCAAACACCGUCUCCUUCUGUAAAGGGUUAAAGAUGUUACAGUCUCGGAAGCGAUGUUCCAAAACUUCGGACUCGCUCAAGUUACUGAGCCUCGGUUAGUGGCGAACUUGAUUCCUAGGUACUUUCUCAGGUACGCGAGAAAUCAGAUAAAUGAAAAAGCAUAAAGUACUGAAAACACUGGGGCGGUACAUAAUCACUUGAUUACUGUAGACCUCGCGCAUUCUCACCCACCCAAAUUUUACAGUCUGUUUAAUUUGUUGACAGGCAAUGGCAGCAAGUCCUGGGGCAGGGCACCUUGAAGUCGUGGCUAACCGGCAACCUUAAAUAGGUUGCCUACCUUCUUCUUCUUUUUUUUGGCAUAUUGAUGGUGGAAAUCGAGGUGCAUCAACCUCCCUGACCACUGAUGCGGCCCCCCAUUACCUGCCUCGCCAUCUUCAAAUCAAGGGUGUUGAUGUGAAGGCCCGUCUCAAAUAAAGGGGUUAGAUUUUCUUUUCCCUCUCCUGCAAUUUCUAAUUCCCAAACAUACGGAGCAAUGGAGAUAUAUUGUGUUUCUAAAACAAGAGCAAGCGGGAGGGGUGAAGAUCGAGUAUAUGGAUGAUUUGGAAGCCAUUUCUAACCAUUGUAUUUAUUAGGGCAAAUUCCCAUUCAAGGGGUCGAGACUCCUAAAAAAAUCCGUAAGGGCUCAAAAUAUCCAUUUAUAUGCUAGGAGGGUUUGCUUCGUAAUUUUUAUUUUACUCGGGCCUCCUCCAAAAGUCUCUCCAAACAUAGCUAGAUAAGUUACCCUUGUUUAGAGUUGGGAACCCUAAACAAGCAUAUGAGUAUUUCGAUAACUCGAGAUCUCGGCUAAAUGUAAGGGGUGGGUUAACUUAAUGUGGUAUCUUUGCUUGUUUAGGGCCACAAUUUAGGUAUUUUCUUUGAAGAGUUUUAAAAUAAAUCCUUUGAUAUUAAAU
rnacentral:lncRNA from 1 species